CGGCGGACGGGUGAGUAACGCGUGGGUAACCUGCCUCAUACAGGGGGAUAACAGUUGGAAACGGCUGCUAAUACCGCAUAAGCGCACAGUACCGCAUGGUACGGUGUGAAAAACUCCGGUGGUAUGAGAUGGACCCGCGUCUGAUUAGGUAGUUGGUGGGGUAACGGCCUACCGAGGCGACGAUCAGUAGCCGGCCUGAGAGGGUGAACGGCCACAUUGGGACUGAGACACGGCCCAA
rnacentral:rRNA from 1 species